rnacentral:lncRNA from 1 species
UACAGGCGGCGCGGGGCUGGGCGGCACAGGUGAAGGGGGCGCAGGUGAGGGCGGAGGAGAUGGCGAUGGUGGACGAGGUGAUGGCGGCUCUGGGCUUGGCGGCGCAGGGCUCGGAGGCUCGGGGCUGGGCGGCACAGGCGAAGGAGGCGGGCUGGGAGGCGUAGGCGGAGGCGGCGGGCUGGGACACGUCGCCGGAAUCUGCGUGCCGUUGUACACAUACACCGCAGACGGCACCGCGCCGCACAUCAGCGAGUUGCCGCUGAGGUCCACACGGAACAGACCCGUCAGCACGCUCCAGCCAGAGGGAACAGGCCCGGUUAGCAGAUUCCCGCUCAAGUCCAGCGUGCGCAGGUUGCUCAGCGCAGACCACUCGGCAGGCAGCUGGCCAGAGUACCGGUUGCCCAGCAGCUCCAGGCGAGUCAGAGACGUCAGGACACUCCACGACCGCGGUAACGUGCCCGUCAGGCUGUUGUUGGUGGCGCGAAUGGUGCUCAGGCUGGACACGAACGCCCACGACUCCGGCAAGGAGCCCGUGAGGUUGCGCUGGUUCAGCACCACCGUGGUGGGCUGUCCUGCCGUGCACGACACGCCCGUCCACGCAGCCGUGCAGGGGUCGCUGCUGGUGUUCCAGCCCAGAAUCGCAGCCGGCAACGGACUGGCCGUCACCCGCAGGUCCGCAAGCGCAUAGCCAAACGAAGGCGGAGGUGGAGACGGAGGCGCCGGCGAUGGAGGGGCAGGGCUGGGAGGCGCAGGGCUGGGAGGCACAGGAGGCGGAGACGGCGGGGACGGGCACGCCAGACCAACCUGCGUGCCGCUGCUCGUCACCGGACUGCCAGCAGCCCACGGCGUGGGGAUGCUGCCACACAGUGCGCCGUUAUUGUCCAGCCACAGGAGCUGCAGCGCGCCCAUGCCGCCAGGACCAGCCCAGGCGGCCGGAAUGGUCGAGUAGAAGCCGUUGCCCGACAGGUCCAGCUCCGUCAGACGCGUCAGCGCGGACCAAGACACAGGCAGCAGGCCGCCGAGGCCCGGCCCGUUGUUGGCCACGCUGACGUACUCCAGCUGCGUCAUCUGGGAGUACGAGUCCGGAAGCGUGCCCGUCAGCGUGUUGCCGCUCAACGUCACUGAGCGCAGCGUGCGCACUUGCACCAGGCUGGCCGGCAGGGGGCCAGCCAGCCGCGGCGAGGUGGACGGCAGGCUCAGGUCCACCACGUUGCCGCUGCCGUCGCAGCUGACGCCGUACCAGCUGGUGCAUGGGUUCGGAUGCAUCACGUCGUCCCAUGUGCUGAGCGCCGUGGAGUUGCCCAGCUCGUAUUUGACCUGCAGCAGCGCGUUGGCUGCAGUGGGCGGAGCGGGCGGCGCCGGGCUGGGCGGCGCGGGGCUGGGCGGCCGCGGGCUAGGCGGGUCCGGGCUGGGUGGCGUGGGGCUGGGUGGUGCCGGGCUGGGCGGUACAGGCGGCGCGGGGCUGGGCGGCACGGGCGAAGGGGGCGCCGGUGAGGGCGGAGGAGAUGGCGCUGGCGGCUCCGGGCUGGGCGGCAUGGGGGACGGCGGCUCUGGGCUGGGCGGUGCAGGUGAAGGGGGCGCUGGAGACGGCGGCACAGGAGGCGCAGGGCUCGGCGGUACCGGAGGUGCCGGUGACGGUGGCUCUGGGCUGGGCGGUGCAGGUGAAGGGGGCGCUGGAGGCGCAGGGCUGGGAGGAACAGGCGGCGCAGGGCUCGGGGGCGCUGGGCUGGGCGGCACAGGCGACGGAGGUGGGCUGGGAGGCGUAGGCGGAGGCGGCGGGCUGGGACACGUCGCCGGAAUCUGCGUGCCGUUGUACACAUACACCGCAGACGGCACCGCGCCGCACAUCAGCGAGUUGCCACUGAGGUCCACGCGGAACAGACCCGUCAGCACGCUCCAGCCAGAUGGAACAGGCCCGGUCAGCAGAUUCCCGCUCAGGUCCAGCGUGCGCAGGUUGCUCAGCGCAGACCACUCGGCAGGCAGCUGGCCAGAGUACCGGUUGCCCAGCAGCUCCAGGCGAGUCAGAGACGUCAGGACACUCCACGACCGCGGUAACGUGCCCGUCAGGCUGUUGUUGGUGGCGCGAAUGGUGCUCAGGCUGGACACGAACGCCCACGACUCCGGCAAGGAGCCCGUGAGGUUGCGCUGGUUCAGCACCACCGUGGUGGGCUGUCCUGCCGUGCACGACACGCCCGUCCACGCAGCCGUACAGGGGUCGCUGCUGGUGUUCCAGCCCAGAAUCGCAGCCGGCAACGGACUGGCCGUCACCCGCAGGUCCGCAAGCGCAUAGCCAAACGAAGGCGGAGGUGGAGACGGAGGCGCCGGCGACGGAGGGGCAGGGCUGGGAGGCGCAGGGCUGGGAGGCACAGGAGGCGGAGACGGCGGGGACGGGCACGCCAGACCAACCUGCGUGCCGCUGCUCGUCACCGGACUGCCAGCAGCCCACGGCGUGGGGAUGCUGCCACACAGUGCGCCGUUGUUGUCCAGCCACAGAAGCUGCAGCGCGCCCAUGCCGCCAGGACCAGCCCAGGCGGCCGGAAUGGUCGAGUAGAAGCCGUUGCCCGACAGGUCCAGCUCCGUCAGACGCGUCAGCGCGGACCAAGACACAGGCAGCAGGCCGCCGAGGCCCGGCCCGUUGUUGGCCACGCUGACGUACUCCAGCUGCGUCAUCUGGGAGUACGAGUCCGGAAGCGUGCCCGUCAGCGUGUUGCCGCUCAACGUCACUGAGCGCAGCGUGCGCACUUGCACCAGGCUGGCCGGCAGGGGGCCAGCCAGCCGCGGCGAGGUGGACGGCAGGCUCAGGUCCACCACGUUGCCGCUGCCGUCGCAGCUGACGCCGUACCAGCUGGUGCAUGGGUUCGGAUGCAUCACGUCGUCCCACGUGCUGAGCGCCGUGGAGUUGCCCAGCUCGUAUUUGACCUGCAGCAGCGCGUUGGCUGCAGUGGGCGGAGCGGGCGGCGCCGGGCUGGGCGGCGCGGGGCUGGGCGGCCGCGGGCUAGGCGGGUCCGGCCUGGGUGGCGUGGGGCUGGGUGGUGCCGGGCUGGGCGGUACAGGCGGCGCGGGGCUGGGCGGCACGGGCGAAGGGGGCGCCGGUGAGGGCGGAGGAGAUGGCGCUGGCGGCUCCGGGCUGGGCGGCAUGGGGGACGGCGGCUCUGGGCUGGGCGGUGCAGGUGACGGGGGCGCUGGAGACGGCGGCACAGGAGGCGCAGGGCUCGGCGGUACCGGAGGUGCCGGUGACGGUGGCUCUGGGCUGGGCGGUGCAGGUGAAGGGGGCGCUGGAGGCGCAGGGCUGGGAGGAACAGGCGGCGCAGGGCUCGGGGGCGCUGGGCUGGGCGGCUCCGGAGAAGGCGGCACAGGAGGCGCAGGGCUGGGAGGAACAGGCGGCGCAGGGCUCGGAGGCGCUGGGCUGGGCGGCACAGGCGACGGAGGCGGGCUGGGAGGCGUAGGCGGAGGCGGCGGGCUGGGACACGUCGCCGGAAUCUGCGUGCCGUUGUACACAUACACCGCAGACGGCACCGGGCCGCACAUCAGCGAGUUGCCACUGAGGUCCACGCGGAACAGACCCGUCAGCACGCUCCAGCCAGAGGGAACAGGCCCGGUCAACAGAUUCCCACUCAGGUCCAGCGUGCGCAGGUUGCUCAGCGCAGACCACUCGGCAGGCAGCUGGCCAGAGUACCGGUUGCCCAGCAGCUCCAGGCGAGUCAGAGACGUCAGGACACUCCACGACCGCGGUAACGUGCCCGUCAGGCUGUUGUUGGUGGCGCGAAUGGUGCUCAGGCUGGACACGAACGCCCACGACUCCGGCAAGGAGCCCGUGAGGUUGCGCUGGUUCAGCACCACCGUGGUGGGCUGUCCUGCCGUGCACGACACGCCCGUCCACGCAGCCGUACAGGGGUCGCUGCUGGUGUUCCAGCCCAGAAUCGCAGCCGGCAACGGACUGGCCGUCACCCGCAGGUCCGCAAGCGCAUAGCCAAACGAAGGCGGAGGUGGAGACGGAGGCGCCGGCGACGGAGGGGCAGGGCUGGGAGGCGCAGGGCUGGGAGGCACAGGAGGCGGAGACGGCGGGGACGGGCACGCCAGACCAACCUGCGUGCCGCUGCUCGUCACCGGACUGCCAGCAGCCCACGGCGUGGGGAUGCUGCCACACAGUGCGCCGUUGUUGUCCAGCCACAGGAGCUGCAGCGCGCCCAUGCCGCCAGGACCAGCCCAGGCGGCCGGAAUGGUCGAGUAGAAGCCGUUGCCCGACAGGUCCAGCUCCGUCAGACGCGUCAGCGCGGACCAAGACACAGGCAGCAGGCCGCCGAGGCCCGGCCCGUUGUUGGCCACGCUGACGUACUCCAGCUGCGUCAUCUGGGAGUACGAGUCCGGAAGCGUGCCCGUCAGCGUGUUGCCGCUCAACGUCACUGAGCGCAGCGUGCGCACUUGCACCAGGCUGGCCGGCAGGGGGCCAGCCAGCCGCGGCGAGGUGGACGGCAGGCUCAGGUCCACCACGUUGCCGCUGCCGUCGCAGCUGACGCCGUACCAGCUGGUGCAUGGGUUCGGAUGCAUCACGUCGUCCCACGUGCUGAGCGCCGUGGAGUUGCCCAGCUCGUAUUUGACCUGCAGCAGCGCGUUGGCUGCAGUGGGCGGAGCGGGCGGCGCCGGGCUGGGCGGCGCGGGGCUGGGCGGCCGCGGGCUAGGCGGGUCCGGGCUGGGUGGCGUGGGGCUGGGUGGUGCCGGGCUGGGCGGUACAGGCGGCGCCGGGCUGGGCGGCACGGGCGAAGGGGGCGCCGGUGAGGGCGGAGGAGAUGGCGCUGGCGGCUCCGGGCUGGGCGGUGCAGGUGAAGGGGGCGCUGGAGACGGCGGAACAGGAGGCGCAGGGCUCGGCGGUACCGGAGGUGCCGGUGACGGUGGCUCUGGGCUGGGCGGUGCAGGUGAAGGGGGCGCUGGAGGCGCAGGGCUGGGAGGAACAGGCGGCGCAGGGCUCGGGGGCGCUGGGCUGGGCGGCUCCGGAGAAGGCGGCACAGGAGGCGCAGGGCUGGGAGGAACAGGCGGCGCAGGGCUCGGAGGCGCUGGGCUGGGCGGCACAGGCGACGGAGGCGGGCUGGGAGGCGUAGGCGGAGGCGGCGGGCUGGGACACGUCGCCGGAAUCUGCGUGCCGUUGUACACAUACACCGCAGACGGCACCGGGCCGCACAUCAGCGAGUUACCACUGAGGUCCACGCGGAACAGACCCGUCAGCACGCUCCAGCCAGAGGGAACAGGCCCGGUCAACAGAUUCCCGCUCAGGUCCAGCGUGCGCAGGUUGCUCAGCGUAGACCACUCGGCAGGCAGCUGGCCAGAGUACCGGUUGCCCAGCAGCUCCAGGCGAGUCAGAGACGUCAGGACACUCCACGACCGCGGUAACGUGCCCGUCAGGCUGUUGUUGGUGGCGCGAAUGGUGCUCAGGCUGGACACGAACGCCCACGACUCCGGCAAGGAGCCCGUGAGGUUGCGCUGGUUCAGCACCACCGUGGUGGGCUGUCCUGCCGUGCACGACACGCCCGUCCACGCAGCCGUGCAGGGGUCGCUGCUGGUGUUCCAGCCCAGAAUCGCAGCCGGCAACGGACUGGCCGUCACCCGCAGGUCCGCAAGCGCAUAGCCAAACGAAGGCGGAGGUGGAGACGGAGGCGCCGGCGACGGAGGGGCAGGGCUGGGAGGCGCAGGGCUGGGAGGCACAGGAGGCGGAGACGGCGGGGACGGGCACGCCAGACCAAUCUGCGUGCCGCUGCUCGUCAC